rnacentral:rRNA from 1 species
UACGGAGGAUCCAAGCGUUAUCCGGAUUUAUUGGGUUUAAAGGGUGCGUAGGCGGAUUGAUAAGUUAGAGGUGAAAUGUCCGAGCUUAACUCGGGAACUGCCUCUAAUACUGUUGAUCUAGAGAGUAGAUGCGGUAGGCGGAAUGUAUGGUGUAGCGGUGAAAUGCUUAGAGAUCAUACAGAACACCGAUUGCGAAGGCAGCUUACCAAUCUAUAUCUGACGUUGAGGCACGAAAGCGCGGGGAGCAAACAGG